rnacentral:rRNA from 1 species
AACGAACGCUGGCGGCGUGCCUAACACAUGCAAGUCGAGCGCGAAAGUUCCUUCGGGAAUGAGUAAAGCGGCGGACGGGUGAGUAAUACGUGGGUAAUCUGCCCCCGAGCUCAGGAUAACACUGCGAAAGCGGUGCUAAUACCGGAUAAGACCACAUGACACAUGUCGUGCGGGAAACGGUGGCUUUAUUUUCGGAUGAGGCUAUCACUUGAGGAUGAGCCCAUGGCCUAUCAGCUUGUUGGGGAGGUAAAAGCUCACCAAGGCGAUGACGGGUAGCUGGUCUAAGAGGACGACCAGCCACACUGGGACUGAGACACGGCCCAGACUCCUACGGGAGGCAGCAGUGGGGAAUAUUGGGCAAUGGGCGAAAGCCUGACCCAGCGACGCCGUGUGGGCGAUGAAGGCCUUCGGGUUGUAAAGCCCUGUGAGGUGGGAAGAAGGGCCCAGAGGUUAAUACCCUUUGGGCUUUGACGGUACCACCAGAGGAAGCCCCGGCUAACUUCGUGCCAGCAGCCGCAGUAAAAC